rnacentral:rRNA from 1 species
AACGAACGCUGGCGGCAGGCCUAACACAUGCAAGUCGAACGCCGUAGCAAUACGGAGUGGCAGACGGGUGAGUAACGCGUGGGAACCUUCCCUAUGGUUCGGAAUAGCUCAGGGAAACCUGGGGUAAUACCGGAUAAGCCCUUCGGGGGAAAGAUUUAUCGCCAUUGGAUGGGCCCGCGUAGGAUUAGCUAGUUGGUGAGGUAACGGCUCACCAAGGCGACGAUCCUUAACUGGUCUGAGAGGAUGAUCAGCCACACUGGGACUGAGACACGGCCCAGACUCCUACGGGAGGCAGCAGUGGGGAAUAUUGGACAAUGGGCGAAAGCCUGAUCCAGCCAUGCCGCGUGAGUGACGAAGGCCUUAGGGUUGUAAAGCUCUUUUGGCGGGGAAGAUAAUGACGGUACCCGCAGAAUAAGCUCCGGCUAACUUCGUGCCAGCCGCCGCCGUAACAC